rnacentral:rRNA from 1 species
GACGAACGCUGGCGGCGUGCUUAACACAUGCAAGUCGAACGGAAAUGCCCUGCUUUUGUGGGGUGCUCGAGUGGCGAACGGGUGAGUAACACGUGAGUAACCUGCCCUUGACUUUGGGAUAACUUCAUGAAACUGGGGCUAAUACCGGAUAGGAGCUCCUGCUUCAUGGUGGGGGUUGGAAAGUUUCGGCGGUUGGGGAUGGACUGGCGUCUUAUCAGCUUGUUGGUGGGGUAGUGGCUUACCAAGGCUUUGACGGGUAGCCGGCCUGAGAGGGUGACCGGACACAUUGGGACUGGGAUACGGCACAGACUACUACGGGAGGCAGCAGUGGGGAAUAGUGCACAGUGGGAGGAAGGCUGAUGCAGCAACGCCGCGUGCGGGAUAACGGGCUGCGGGUUGGAAACCGCUUUCGCCUGUGACGAAGCGUGAGUGACGGUAAUGGGUAAAGAAGCACCGGCUAACUACGUG